UACGGGGGAGGCAAGCGUUGUUCGGAUUUACUGGGCGUAAAGGGCGCGUAGGCGGCCACCGCAAGUCGACUGUGAAAUCUCCGGGCUUAACCCGGAAAGGUCAGCCGAUACUGCGGGGCUAGAGUGCAGAAGGGCAACUGGAAUUCUCGAUGUAGCGGUGAAAUGCGUAGAUAUCGAGAGGAACACCUGCGGCGAAGGCGGGUGCUGGGCUGACACUGACGCUGGAGGCGCGAAAGCUAGGGGAGCGAACGGG
rnacentral:rRNA from 1 species